UAAGGAAUAUUGGUCAAUGGACGCAAGUCUGAACCAGCCAUGCCGCGUGGAGGAUGAAGGUCCUCUGGAUUGUAAACUUCUUUUAUCUGGGACGAAAAAGGGUCUUUCUAGAUCAACUGACGGUACCAGAUGAAUAAGCACCGGCUAACUCCGUGCCAGCAGCCGCGGUAAUACGGAGGGUGCAAGCGUUAUCCGGAUUCACUGGGUUUAAAGGGUGCGUAGGUGGGUUGGUAAGUCAGUGGUGAAAUCCCCGAGCUUAACUUGGGAACUGCCAUUGAUACUAUCAGUCUUGAAUAUUGUGGAGGUUAGCGGAAUAUGUCAUGUAGCGGUGAAAUGCUUAGAUAUGACAUAGAACACCAAUUGCGAAGGACAGCUGGCUACGCAUAUAUUGACACUGAGGCACGAAAGCGUGGGGAUCGAAACAGGAUAGAUAACCCUGGUAGUCCACGCCCUAAACUAU
rnacentral:rRNA from 1 species